UUUUUUUGUUAUGGUUUUUUUACAUUCUUUGACUCAUGUUUAAAGUGAGAUAAACGGUUAAUAGGCCGCGAAGCCGUUCACCGUUCAAUAGUGCACAGAGUUGGAGAGUGGAGGUCAGGCUUCUCAGUUAAGUGAGAACGCCCUAAAAUUCACUAAUGAUCCUUCCGCAGGUUCACCUACGGAAA
rnacentral:misc_RNA from 1 species